rnacentral:rRNA from 1 species
UGGAAAGAUUUUUCGGUUGGGGAUGGGCUCGCGGCCUAUCAGCUUGUUGGUGAGGUAAUGGCUCACCAAGGCGUCGACGGGUAGCCGGCCUGAGAGGGUGACCGGCCACACUGGGACUGAGACACGGCCCAGACUCCUACGGGAGGCAGCAGUGGGGAAUAUUGCACAAUGGGCGGAAGCCUGAUGCAGCAACGCCGCGUGAGGGAUGACGGCCUUCGGGUUGUAAACCUCUUUUAGUAGGGAAGAAGCGAAAGUGACGGUACCUGCAGAAAAAGCACCGGCUAACUACGUGCCAGCAGCCGCGGUAAUACGUAGGGUGCAAGCGUUAUCCGGAAUUAUUGGGCGUAAAGAGCUCGUAGGCGGUUUGUCGCGUCUGCUGUGAAAUUCCGAGGCUCAACCUCGGGCUUGCAGUGGGUACGGGCAGACUAGAGUGCGGUAGGGGAGAUUGGAAUUCCUGGUGUAGCGGUGGAAUGCGCAGAUAUCAGGAGGAACACCGAUGGCGAAGGCAGAUCUCUGGGCCGUAACUGACGCUGAGGAGCGAAAGGGUGGGGAGCAAACAGGCUUAGAUACCCUGGUAGUCCACCCCGUAAACGUUGGGAACU